AUUGAACGCUGGCGGCAGGCCUAACACAUGCAAGUCGAACGAGUGGCGGACGGGUGAGUAAUGUCUGGGAAACUGCCUGAUGGAGGGGGAUAACUACUGGAAACGGUAGCUAAUACCGCAUACCAUCAGAUGUGCCCAUAUGGCAUGAGCUAGUAGGUGGGGUAAUGGCUCACCUGGGCGACGAUCCCUAGCUGGUCUGCGAGGAUGACCAGCCACACUGGAACUGAGACACGGUCCAGACUCCUACGGGAGGCAGCAGUGGGGAAUAUUGCACAAUGGGCGCAAGCCUGAUGCAGCCAUGCCGCGUGUGUGAAGAAGGCCUUCGGGUUGUAAAGCACUUUCAGCGGGGAGGCGUUAACCGAAGAAGAAGCACCGGCUAACUCCGUGCCAGCAGCCGCGGUAAUAG
rnacentral:rRNA from 1 species